CCCUUAGAUGUCCUGGGCCGCACGCGCGCUACACUGAGUGUCUGAGAUACGAGUCUGCCUGGUCCGGCAAGGUCUAGGUAAUCGCUAAAAGACACAUCAUGCUUGGGAUAGAUUAUUGCAAAUAUUAAUCUUGAACGAGGAAUUCCUAGUAAGCGCAAGUCAACAGCUUGCGUUGAUUACGUCCCUGCCCUUUGUACACACCGCCCGCCGCUACUACUGAUUGGAUGUUUAAGCGAGGUUCUCGAACUGCUAGCGACUUAGCUUCGGUGAGGUCGCAGUGUGGGAAGUGAACCUAGCUUUGGUGUCUAGAGGAAGUAAAAGUCGUAACA
rnacentral:rRNA from 1 species